rnacentral:rRNA from 1 species
AUUGAACGCUGGCGGCAUGCUUUACACAUGCAAGUCGAACGGUAACAGGCCGCAAGGUGCUGACGAGUGGCGAACGGGUGAGUAAUGCAUCGGAACGUGCCCAGUCGUGGGGGAUAACGCAGCGAAAGCUGUGCUAAUACCGCAUACGAUCUAUGGAUGAAAGCGGGGGACCGUAAGGCCUCGCGCGAUUGGAGCGGCCGAUGUCAGAUUAGGUAGUUGGUGGGGUAAAGGCCCACCAAGCCAACGAUCUGUAGCUGGUCUGAGAGGACGACCAGCCACACUGGGACUGAGACACGGCCCAGACUCCUACGGGAGGCAGCAGUGGGGAAUUUUGGACAAUGGGCGCAAGCCUGAUCCAGCAAUGCCGCGUGCAGGAAGAAGGCCUUCGGGUUGUAAACUGCUUUUGUACGGAACGAAACGGUCCGGGCUAAUACCCUGGGCUAAUGACGGUACCGUAAGGAUAAGCACCGGCUAACUACGUGCCAGCCGCCGCCGUAAUAC